CGGCAUGGCGAGGGGCGCCUCUCCGAGAGGAGCGGCUGAGAAGCACCCAUCGAACCUGAUCCGGGUAAUGCCGGCGCGAGGGAAGGCCAGCAGGACGCGUC
rnacentral:ncRNA from 2 species